GCGGAAGUAGCUCAGUUGGUUAGAGCAUCAUCCUUCCAAGUUGAAUGUCGCGGGUUCGAAUCCCGUCUUCCGCUUCA
rnacentral:tRNA from 1 species